GAUGAACGCUAGCGGCAGGCUUAACACAUGCAAGUCGAGGGGCAACACGGGUAGCAAUACCUGGUGGCGACCGGCGCAAGGGUGCGUAACGCGUGAGCAACAUGCCCUAUACAGGGGGAUAAUCCAGGGAAACUUGGUCUAAUAUCCCAUAGUAUUUAGAGGUGGCAUCAUCACUAAAUUAAAGCUUCGGUGGUAUAGGAUUGGCUCGCGUGACAUUAGCUUGAUGGUGGGGUAACGGCUCACCAUGGCGAUGAUGUCUAGGGGUUCUGAGAGGAAGACCCCCCACACUGGGACUGAGACACGGCCCAGACUCCUACGGGAGGCAGCAGUGAGGAAUAUUGGACAAUGGAUGGAAAUCUGAUCCAGCCAUGCCGCGUGCAGGAAGACGGCCCUAUGGGUUGUAAACUGCUUUUAUAUGGGAGCAAUAAGGUUUACGCGUAGACCGAUGAGAGUACCAUAUGAAUAAGCAUCGGCUAACUCCG
rnacentral:rRNA from 1 species